CGCCCGUCAUGGCAACAUGGCGGAGGGCCGGACAGGAGUCAGCAGAGGCCAUAUUAGGCGAGAGGAAACAAGCCCGGCGAAAGGA
rnacentral:ncRNA from 1 species